GAUACAUGUGCGCAUGCACGUGUACACACAUGCAUGCAUACACACAUGCAUUUGUAGAUAUAUGUGUAGGUGUGUACACACAACAUACACAUAUGCAUCCACACAUACACAUAUACAUAUGAGGUGGCACGUUCAGCUUUCAAGAGGACCAUCAGGGACUUUGUCACCUUGACAACUUUAGCCUUGCCUUCUAGUCACCUUGCCGGAACACUUGUGCCCGUGUUUUUCUAGCACUGUCAUAAGAAUACUUUUACCUAUCAAGGCAACUGGGGGUUAGGAGAGCUUUUUGCACAGGAGGCUACUUGGCUUUGUUUGAAAACUGAUGAUACAUGAGGAUUGGGGUGGUGAAUCACUCACAUGUUUCUUCAUAUGAAAAAUGAGGACUGUGGGAUUCUCUGGCUGGAUCUCAGCACCUAGAAAUGGAUCUGGGCAAUAGGAACUGCUCAGUAUUAGCUACCGCUUUGGUUGCCUUCUCCUUGCGGAAAGCUGGCCUCUCACACUGAAUUUGUAUCAUAGGCACUCAUGAGGGUCUUGACUGUAUCAAUAUCUGAUGAGAGAUUUUAGUGCAGUUCUGUUAUCGUGGCUGAUUUGCUCAUUUGGUAGCUAGCAUCCAGCUUCUUGUGAACAUUAAAAUAAAAUAAAAUAGAUUAUGGAGGAAUAGAAUACAGAUACGUAGUAAGGUAUUAUUUUCCAGACAAAAUGGAUUUGGAUAAAAGAAUCUAAUUAAGAACUUGUGCAUGAUUCUUUUAAAAUUCUUUUGAAUCCAUUUUUUUUUUUUUGGCCUGUUUUCAAGUCUCCGAUUUUUGUCACCCUUCUCACACCAGGUCAGAGAGAUAGCUAAUGGUCAGAAGGAAUCUUCCAGCAAUGACCAUAGCGCUUUCUCCUGCCUGCAGAUGCCUCUUUUUAUUCAGCCUUUAUGGGAAGUAGCAGCACCAUCCAGUUCUCAGAGAGCAAGCUCUGGAGUAACUGAGCUAACCCCAGUUACCCCAGUGGAUUUACAGAUUGAGGUUACAACCCAGCAGGGUUCUCUUCCUGGAAAGAAUAGCCUUCCCUCUAAGGUUUCAAAUAGACCCUGGGUGAGGAAGGAGCCCUAAACAGCUUGAAAAAUUGAAUGCUCUUUGGGCAAAGCAGGAAGCCGUCCUAUGGAAGAGCAUCAUUUGAGCAUAAAUCAGGUUAUCAGGACAAACAGAGUGUUCAGGAGGUCAAGAUGGUUAAGCAGAGACCCUGACCAGAAUGUCCGUGGCGGAGAGAAACAAUCUUGUUGGGAAAAGGAUGACAAUAAUUGGGGACUUAGAAUAAAGGCUAAAAAUGAUUCAAAGAGAAUGCAAAAAGAAUCAGGCACAAAUCGUUUACUAUACUCUGUUAUGCAAAUCUCACCUUACUAUGUGUUUGUAUUCUAUUCCUCCACAAUCUUUAUUUUAUUUUAAUGUUCAAAGAGACUUGUAGGUGCCAAUUAAAUGAACAAAACAGCCAGAGACAACAGAACUGCCCUAAAAAAAGUCCCGCAUCAGCUCUUGAGAGCAGGUUCCUUAAAGGUGAACAAUAUUCCACAUACAAGGACUUUUUCAGCACCAUGCAUUAGAAAUGGAAGUGAAUGUUUAUUAUUUUUUGUAUAAGUUGGUUGAUAUGGCUUUUCAGCUUCCCUCAGUAUCAUUAUCCAAAUUUUGUAGAUGACACUAAAGCUCAGAGGAGUUAAACCAUUUUCCUUAAAUCACAUAGCUUUAAAUAGGAAAACCAGAUAUGAAAAGCAGAUUUUUUUUCUAAAUUAAAAAACCAAAAACAAAAACACGUGAGCUCUUGCUUUACCCUAGCACAUAGUCUUGCCAUCUGUUUUCUCCACACCAGGUGAUUCCUGUAACAUUCAUUCACAUAACAAAUACAAAUAAAUGAGUGGAUUCAUUCAUCAGAUAUUAAUUCAGAAUCCCUUUUGUGCCUUCCAGAAAUCUGGACCAUCUCACAACCCCCAGAGAGUCUCAGCUACAAGGAACAAGUGAUAAUGCCAUCCCACUUUUAUAAACACACACACACACACAUGCAAUACACACACAAUCAUUUAAUCAUUUUUAAUUAUUUAAUUAUUUUUUAAAAAUCAGUGACACUUUAGCUGGGCAGGUCUAGAUAGGUCUUCUUUGCUGGGACGUGUCUUUUUCUGUCCUGGAAUACCCUAAACUUCACAUUUUGGCAGCGUGAGUUUUCCCUUUGUGACUUUCUCCUUCUUCCCUUUUUUCCUCCUUCUUUGCAGAGAAUGAGUAGCCACUGCACCUUGCCCUGCGCCAUCAAUGAGAAGAUCUGCUCUUAGUAGAGCCCUGCUUUCCCGCUGAAGGCCCUGAAAUCACCUGUGUUCCAGGCCACCCACUAAGGAUAAACAAAGCUUCCCUGAUAUGGGGAAUUAGCUCAAGUGGUAGAGCGCUUGCUUAGCAUGCAAGAGGUAGUGGGAUCAAUGCCCACAUUCUCCAAGCUUUAUUAUUUAGGUACCCAAACCCGAGUCAGUGUCUGAGAGCAAGACACUGCUCUCGGUGUCUUUGGUUCAAGACAUAGGAGCAGCAACAAUACAGGACUGGUGACAGCUUCCUGCUGGCAUUCAGUAUAGUGUAGAUCUACUGUGUAAUUAAUUUUCUGUUUCUUCGAGGAGCUGUGAAACCAAAGGACAUAUAAAACUGCUCUUUUCUCCCUGUUUCUGCCUGCAGCUUGGUCCUAAAUGUGAGACAAUUGUGAAAAGUGGAGGACAGAGCCACCUGGUUAAAUACAGCCCCAGCUUUCUGGUGAGAGGACUGAAACCAAGAUGUGUCAAGUAACUAGAAUGUGCCUGGACAGAUACUGUAGAAAGCAAAACCAUAAAGUUGUUCAUGAGCUUGUGGACGCACCUGCCAGCUGUGAAUAAGUGGCUCUAAUCCCGAACAACUUACCUAAAAAGAGCCUGAGAGCUGAACUGUGCAAUGGCCCACUUUCCAGUCCUCACUGACCACUGGGUUGCACACACUUUGGAGAUCUCUGAACAGCAGUGUCAAGGCUUUCAAAUAGAGUUAUCUUUGAAACGACAACACAUGAAAGUCUGGUUGGUACUUGGAGCUUAAAUACAAGGCAAUUGUGUGCCUGCAAAAACAAAAAUAGCAAUAUUAUCCUUAAGAUUUCAACAAGACACAGUGUCUCAUCACAUAAUCCAAAGAAGUCCAGGUUACAAGCCCCACAAUAUUCAGCAUUAUGAAAAAACAGGGAGAUCUUAAUUCACAUGGCAAAGAGAAUCCUCGAAUAACAAUAUUGAGAGGACACAGAUGUCAAAAUCAUCUGACACAUACAUUAAAGCAGAUAUUAUAACAAUGCUCCUAGAAUCGGGGAUAACAUUCGUGAAGUGAAUGGAAAGUUGGAAAGUCUCACCAAAUAUUUCGAAUACAUAAACACCAAUUUAAACUUAAGAAUUAAAAAAAUGUAUUAACCAAAACUCUUAGGGGAAAUAAAAAGCUUAAUUGGAGGAUCUCCAUAAUCGAAUGCAGAAGACUAAGGAAAAAGUCAAUGAACUUGAAAACAGAACACGAAUACCUACAUAAUCUGAACUAUAGAGAGAAAGGAGGAUUUUAUUGUCUCUGAACAGAGGCUCAGGCACAAAUAAAAAAUAACAAAUCCAACAUUCACAUUAUUGUAAUCUGGAAAGAAGAGGACAAAGUGGUCUUUGUGGGAUAAAACUUUGAACAAUUAAUAGCUGAAAAUGGUUCAAAUUUGUCAAAAGAUAUAAACCAGAUUUUUAAAGUUCAGUAAAUGUCAAUCAGGAUAAACCCAAAGAAACCCAUAGCAAGGCAUAUCAUAAUCAAACUGCUGAAAACUAAGAAAAUACAAAACAAUUUUGAAAGCAGCCAAAGGGAAAUGAAAGAGAAACUACCAAAUGAAUGAUUGUAGAUUUCGCAUCAGGAACCAUAGGGGCCAGAAAAAAUGUCAUAACAUUCGGUAAGUAACAAAAGAAAAAGACAUAUCGACCCAGAAUGCUAUGUGGAGCAAAAGUAUCUUCCAGACAUAAAGGCAAAUAAAUGCAUUCUCAGUGGAAGGUAAGUAAAUACAUUCUCAUUCUUAGGAAGACUGCUGGAAAAGAAUUAGCAAAGAUUUGAGAUAAGAAAAAUGAUACCAGAAGGAAACUUAGAACAUCAUCAGUGAAGGAACAAAAGCAGAAAUAGAACAUGUCUGGGUAGACAUAACAGACUAUUAUUCUUCCCUUGAGUUCCUUAAGGAGACUACGGAAAAGAAGAGUGACUAAGAUCUCUGAAGAAGGGAAAAGCUAGAUGACUGGGCCACAAGAGGAAAAAAAGCAGCAAGACAGCUUGAAUGUGAGGCAACUGUGAAAAGUGCAGGGCAGAGCCACCUGGGUAAAUACAGCCCUGGCUUUCUGGUGAGAGGACUGAAACCAGGAUGUGUCAAGUAACUAGAAUGUGCCUGGACAGAUACUGUAGAAAGCAAACCCAUAAAGUUGUUCAUGAGCUUGUGGACGCACCUGCCAGCUGUGAAUAAGUGGGUCUAAUCCCAAACAACUUACCUAAAAAGAGCCUGAGGACUGAACUAAACAAUGGUCCACUUUCCAGUCCUCACUGACCACUGGUUGCACACACUCCAGAGAUCUCUCAUCCGCAGUGUCAAGGCUUUCAAAUAGAGUUAUCUGUGAAACAACAACACAUGGAAGUCUGGUUGGUACUUGGAGCUUAAAUACAAGGCAAUUGUGUGCCUGCAAAAACAAAAAGAGCAAUAUUAUCCUUAAGAUUUCAACAAGACACAGUGUCUCAUCACAUAAUCCAAAGAAGUCCAGGUUACAAGCCCCAAAAUAUUCAGCAUUAUGAAAAACCAGGGAGAUCUUAAUUCACAUGGCAAAGAGAAUCCUUGCAUAACAAUAUUGAGAGGACACAUAUGUCAAAAUCAUCUGACACAUACAUUAAAGCAGUUAUUAUAACAAUGCUCCUAGAAUUACGGGAUAGCAUUCAUGAAGUGAAUGGAAAGUUGGAAAGUCUCACCAAAUAUUUGGAAUAUGUAAACACCAAUUUAAACUUAAGAAUUAAAAAAAGUAUUAACCAAAACUAUUAGGGGAAAUAAAAAGCUUAAUUGGAUGAUCUCAAUAGCAGUAUGCAGAAGACUAAGGAAAAAGUCAAUGAACUUGAAAACGGAACAAGAAUACCUACAGAAUCUGACCUAUAGAAAGAAAGGAGGAUUUUAUUGUCCCUGAACAGAGGCUCAGGGACAAAUAAAAAAUAACAAAUCUAACAUUCACAUUAUUGUAAUCUGGAAACAUUCACAUUAUUGUAAGAGGACAAAGAGGUCUUUGUGGGAUAAAACUGUGAAGAAUUAAUGGCUGAAAAUGUAUCAAAUUUCUCAAAAGAUAUAAACCAGAUUUUUAAAGUUCAGUAAAUGUCAAGCAGGAUAAACCAAAAGAAACCCAUUGCAAGACAUAUCAUAAUCAAACUGCGGAAAAUUAAGAAAACACAAAACAAUUUUGAAAGCAGCCAAAGGGAAAUGAAAGAUAAAAUACCAAAUGAAUGAUUGUAGAUUUCUCAUCGGGAACCCAGGAGCCAGAAAAAAAUGUCAUAACAUUCAGUAAAUACCAAAGGAAAAAUACAUUAUCAACCCAGAAUGGUAUGUGGAGCAAAAGUAUCUUCCAGACAUAAAGGCAAAUAAAUGCAUUCUCAUUGGAAGGUAAAUAAAUACAUUCUCAGUCCUAGCAAAACUGCUGGAAAAGAAUUAGCAAAGGUUUGAGAUAAGAAAAGUGAUACCAGAAGGAAACUUAGAACAUCAUCAAUGAAGGAACAAAAGCAGAAAUAGAAAAUGUCUGGGUAGACAUAACAGACUAUUAUUCUUCUCUUGAGUUCCUUAAGGUAUGUUUGAUGGUUGAAAGCAAAAAUUGUAACUUUAUCUGAUGCAGUUGUCAUUGUAUCUAGAUGUACUACAUACAUAAGAUAAAAGGGUAAAUGUAAUGGGACUAACUCUUGAUGAAGUUUCUAUAUUCAACUUGAAUGGUAAAAUAUUGAUUCUUAGUAUACUGUGAAAAGUUAUAUAUGUAUAUGGUAAUCCCUAGACCACUUAACAACCAGAUUGAAAUAAACCAAAACAAGAUAGACAGAGGAACAUAGAAGAAUUAAAACAAAGGGAAAAAAGGUUAAUAAAUUAUUAAAUAGUAGAUCUAUCUAAAAACUUAUCUAUAAUAACAUUAUAUGUAAAUUAUCUAAAUGCAUUAAGUAAAAACUAGAGAUCAUCAGAAUGUGUUAAAAAUAAAUAUGCUGACUAAAGAAAGCCACCUGCAAUACACUUAUAAAUAAGAAUAAAAGUUAUAGAGCAGAUUGAAAGAAAAGAGUGGGAAAAGAUACCUCAUGCAAGCAUUAAUCAAAGACAGCUGUGGUGUAUAUAUAUAAAAUCAGACAAAGUAGAUUUGAAAGCAGAGAAACUUUUCAGGAAUAAUGAGGCCUCCUAAAUAAUUAUGAUUGUCAAUUUUUCAGGAGAAUAUUGUCCCAAAUGUAUAUGAGGACACAGAGCUUCAAAACUCAUAAACAAAAUUGGAUACGCCAAGUAAAAAUAGAAAAAUCCAGUUAUAGUUGCAGUCAUUAACACUCCUCUCUGAGUAAUUGGAAGAUUUAGUGGAACACAAAUCAACAGACAUACUGGAGAAUUGAACCAUGCCAUCCAGUAAUGGACCUAUCAAUUUCAUAAUGCAAAAUAAAAAUUCAGGUAGAAAGCAAAGACAAAAAUUAAAAGAAAAGCAAGAUCAUGUUAUAAUGAGAAAAUUAAGAGUAGUCCAGUGUAUAGAAGGGUGCUAUUAUUGAAAGAGUUUGAAAUAGUGACUUAGUUAUUUUGAAACAUUUUUGAAGACGUUAUUUAGCUGGAAAUGACAGAAAGACUGAAAAUGGUGAAUGUGGAGGUGGAUCUUCCCUUGUCCAUAUUUAUCUUGUCUUCGUUUGAGGUCUGGGGUGUCUAUACUUCCUCUGAAUUACCUGAUCUUACUACAGUGUCUGGCACAGAGCAUCUCCCCAGUGAAUAUGUACUAAAUGAGUAGAAAGUAAUUGAUAGAUUCAAAAGAGUUGUGCAAGAAUAAUGUUCAUUAUUUGACUAAUCACUGAAUGUGGUGUUUCAAGGAAGACAAUGAAUCAAAGUUGACUUGAAAGGUAAGCCCAGGGCCAGACGUGGUGGCUCAUUUCUGUAAUCCCAGCACUUUGGGAGGCCGAGAUCAGUGGAUCCCUUGACACCAGG
rnacentral:tRNA from 1 species